rnacentral:pre_miRNA from 1 species
GGCGUCCGUGCUGGGGAGCGGCCCCCGCGGGGGGCCUCCGCUCAGGCCCCUCCUGGUGCCCGCACUCGCGCUCCGCGC